CAUGGUAUUUUGAAUAGAGACAUUGUACUUCACCAGUAUGUACUAGCAGUUGUCACUUACAUACUUAAUGGUCCCUUAAUAAGAUUUUAAGCUGGCUUAAACAAUGCAAGUGUAUGCUGGGUGAAAGGGAUAUGUCGGUUCCUGAUAGGAACUCAUGACCUUAAGAGAAUGUCAACGCCCAGAAACUAUACUUGCAUUUUGUGUUCAAAGAGACCAAAAACCAGAGACAGGCGGAAACUCAUAGGACCCAACAAUAAAUCACUGCGUAAAUGUUUACAACAGAAUGUUUUCAUUGAA